AAUGAGCUUGGUCCUCUUCUCUCCUCCUCCUCCUUCAGCAGAGCUGCAGAGUGGCCAGGUCUUGAUAGGGUCAAAUGAUUCAUCUGAAGCCAUAAAAUUGGUUAGUAAGAGUCACCAGAACACAAGACUCUUGACUUCCUAGGUGUGCAUCUUGUGACCCUCUUAUCAUCACCUGGGUGAGCUGAUGGCCAAGUAGACAGCAAUGAUCAUCAGUAUUCCCAAUUUUGGGUCCAAUCAGCUGACCUGUGCUCUGCACAUCUGCCAGCCCUGUGAGCUCUCUGAGAGUCACCUGUCCCCUCUGGUCCUGACCUCCUUGCUAGCAUCUGCAACAUUUUUCCCCAGACCCACCUCAGGACUGUUAUUGCCUCUGCAUGAGCCACUGUAUGGUUACUACCUUUGUGUAUUUGCCAGAGGUUCUGCAGCAAAAAAUAGACACAGGACAACCUCACCAAGUGAAGGAAGAAGCUUCCAAAGGAGACAGACUCCAAGGCCAGAUGCCAGCCUCUGGCCCUCCUGCCCAGCUGGCUUAGUAGGGCAGAUCUCCUCUGGGCAGCGAUGCUGUUACACUGUGUUUACACGAUGCGUCAGCCCAAAGACAGAUCGCCAACUGACGGACUCGAAGACACUUGCGCCUCCCUCUUUGGGGAGAAAAGAAACAGGGCAGUGAGGUUCUUUUUUGUUUGUUAGAGCAGAAAGUAUAGAAUGGUAACUUAGUCUUCUAAUCUGCAAAAUAACGAUAAGUUGGUUUUAUUUCAUGGGAUUUUCACUAAGCUCAAAGAGAUAAUACCUAGGAAAGUUGUGCUUUAGGAGUACAAAACAGCUUGCAAAGAAGAAGACAUUUGUACUGAGUGCAAUAAGUUUCUUAUUUAAAAAAUGGCCACAUUUUCUGAUCUCAGAUUCAUUUUUUUUCCAGGAAUUACCUUCAUAAGGAGGGAAGGAAGGGAGGAAGGAGAGAAUGAAGGAAGUAAACAAUGAUAUGGAAAGAAAAGGAAAAAGAUAAUAACAAGAAACAGAACAGGCUGCCUUAGAUCGUCUGCCUUUGUAUACCACAUUAAUAUAUUUCUGUUAUUAAAAAGAGGGUUAAAAUGCCCCUCAGUCUUGGUUAAUGGCAUGAUUAUGUCACAAAAAAAGCCACUGUUCUCUGGAAAUAAAAUGCUAUUCUUUUAAAGACAAAGGAUUCCUAUAGCACUAGGAAAAAUCAGCCACUAUUUAGUACCUGGAAAAUGAGAAUCAUUUGCAUGGAAGUAAACAAUUGACUUCCAAAGAGAUGCUUCUGCGAUUGAAGAUAAACCCUAGGGAUUGUAAAGUUUUAUGUGUUCAUAAAGUGCCCAGUUGUAGUGAGGUUUUAUAGAGAAAACUGUAAGUGGCUAAGAAGAAUCAAUAUCAGUUUACCUAUCCAUCCAUCCAUCCAUUCACCCAUCCACCCAUCCAUCAUGUUUAAGAGCAGGGACCCUGAAUCAGACUUACAGUGUGAAUUUCACCUCCACUACGCAAUAACUGCAUGAUCUUGAGCAUGUUCCUUCAUCUCUUAAUGAAGUUUACUUGUUUAUAAAAUAGAAAUAAUAUUAGUACCCACCUUAUACCAUUGGUCUGAGGAUUAAAUGAGUUAAUAUACAAAAAUAGAGUCUGGCAGAUAAUAAACACUAUAUAUGGUAGCUAUUAUUCGUUGAACCAAUAUUUAUAGAAUCCUGCUAUGUACUAGUCAAACUUUCCCCUUUCAAUAAAUUUUCAUCUACAAGAAAAAUUCUCAUGGUUACAGAGUAUUUAUGUAAUAUAUAUGGAUAUACAGUAGUCUCUCUUUAUCCAUGAGGAAGACAUUUCAAUGCCCCCAGUGGAUUCCUGAAACCAUGGAUAGU
ensembl:lncRNA